rnacentral:rRNA from 1 species
UACGGAAGGCAGCAGUGGGGAAUAUUGCACAAUGGGCGAAAGCCUGAUGCAGCUAUGCCGCGUGUAUGAAGAAGGCCUUAGGGUUGUAAAGUACUUUCAUCGGGGAGGAAAAAACAAAACUAAUAAUUUUAUUUCUUGACGUUACCCGAAAAAGAAGCACCGGCUAACUCCGUGCCAGCAGCCGCGGUAAUACGGAGGGUGCUAGCGUUAAUCAGAAUUACUGGGCGUAAAGAGCACGUAGGUGGUUUUUUUAAGUCAGAUGUGAAAUCCCUGGGCUUAACCUAGGAACUGCAUUUUGAAACUGAAAUACUAGAGUAUCGUAGAGGGAGGUAGAAUUCUAGGUGUAGCGGUGAAAUGCGUAGAUAUCUGGAGGAAUACCUGUGGCGAAAGCGGCCUCCUAAACGAAUACUGACACUGAGGUGCGAAAGCGUGGGGAGCAAACAGGGAUUAGACUACC